ensembl:lncRNA
UCUACGUAGCAAGAAUUAAGAACUAUAUAAAGUAAAAAAUAUAGCAAAAAUACAACAAUAAUAUACAAUGUAAAAGAGUAGGAUGGGGAAUAUGAAGAAUAUGGGUAGAAGCAUUGAAUAUAAUGGAUAAAAUGUGAGUGUAGUAUGCAUAUGUUACGUAUGACAUAUUGCUUCUCCCCAUCUCUGUUGUGGAGAGUGUUGUUUUGUGUCGGGUGGUUUGUCUGUCUGUCUUUCGCAGGUGUGGUGAGUUGCUGUUGAUGAGGCUGGGCGUUUCCUGUCCUCUGGAGUCCGGUUCUCAAUCAAGCCUGGCAGUAUAUGAGGGACUUGUGUUCCAGGAGAGAGAGAGAGCAGUUCCGGAAUUGGAAUCCGAUUGAAGAUAACUUCAUCUUUAAACAAAAGGACUUCAAAACAAAUGACACCUGAAGAUGGCUGUAGCACAGGCCAGGAAGAGGAUCGCCAGAGUAUAUAUCAAGUGCCUGGUGGGGUCAAUACAUCAAAGUCUAAGCAGGGAUGCCCAGACUUCCCUCUCCCCAGAUACUUCUUCCAGCUCUUCCGGGGGGACACCGAGGCGUUCCCAGGCCAGCCGGGAGACAUAGCCCCUCCAGCGUGUCCUAGGUCUUCCCCGGGGUCUCCUCCCGGUGGGACGGGACCGGAACACCUUCCCAGCCACCUCAGCUGAACCCUCUCGAUGUGGAGGAGCAGCGGCUCUACUCUGAGCUCCUCCCGGGUGACCGAGCUUCUCACCCUAUCUCUAAGGGAUCGCCCAGCCACCCUGCGGAGAAAGCUCAUUUCGGCCGCCUGUAUCCGGGAUCUUGUCCUUUCGGUCAUGACCCAAAGCUCAUGACCAUAGGUGAGAGUAGGAACG